UUAUAUAAUCGGUUGUUGCAAUGGCGUUUCGUAAAUGCCAGAGCUGAUACUGCGUUGUCAGCACAGAGGUUGAAUGCAGAGAGAAGACUGUAUAAUGCACGCAUGGCAACCUCAAAACUGCGUGAAUGUGUCAAAGCAAAAAGAAUGGAGUUACAAUGUUUGAGGCAAAAUUUGAAGCUAAUUUCCAUCCUCAAGGGGCAGAUGAUAUAUUUGGAAGA
rnacentral:misc_RNA from 1 species